GUGUAUUAUCACGUAUUCGAACCGUGUACGCAGGAAAUUGUGAUCUAGCGAGAGAACAAAAAUUGAUACUACAUAUCAGUUAGCUAAGAAAUGCUCAAACUGUACUCAUGUAACUUACACGUACUGUAUUAUUUAACCGUGAAUUACAUGUAAAUGAACAAAAUUACUCAAACAGUUUAAGCCUACCCAUCUUUAAAUCUUCGUCGUAAAUGAUAUAUUGUAUAUAUUGUAUAUCAUCUCCACACAGAGAAAAUAAUCCUCGCUAUUACAGAUUAACUUGUAUGAAGAACAGUGACAACUGUAUCACUGUUUUGCAUUAUUUUCAUUAAAAAAAAUUAAAUGAU
rnacentral:sRNA from 1 species